rnacentral:misc_RNA from 1 species
UCAUUUGUACCCUCAAGCUCUGCUUGGUGUUGGGUGUUUGUCCUCUCCUUUGCGAUUGGACUCGCCUUAAAAUAAUUGGCAGCCAGUGUUUUGGUAUUGAAGCGCAGCACAAUUUGCGAUUCUAUCCGGUAAUACUGGCGUCCAUAAGCCUAUUUUACACUUUUGACCUCGGAUCAGGUAGGGAUACCCGCUGAACUUAA